CGUGCGUGCGUGUGUGUGUAUCAGUCAGCUGAUGAUGUAUGAUUGAGUUGUGAUCUCACUCCAUCUCACUGAACUCUUCCUCCUCUCUUUGUCUCUCAGGUGUUCACAUUGUCCAGCGGAUGUACGGCUGUGAGUGGGAUGAUGAGACUAAUGAAGUGAACAGUGGUUUCUUUCAGUAUGGUUACGAUGGAGAAGACUUUGUAGCAUUUGACUUUAAAACAAAAACUUGGAUUGCUCCUACACCUCAGGCUGUCAUCACCAAACAGAAGUGGGAUGUGAACAAAGCAAAUUUAGCUCAAGACAUGAACUAUCUCACCAAAAUUUGUCCUGAAUGGCUGAAAAAGUAUGUGGAGUAUGGAAGGAGCUCUCUGAUGAGAACAGGUAAGAUCACAGACCUGAUGUAACUUUAUCCUGACAAUGAACAUAAACUUCUUUUUUAACUGUCAUAUUACACUGAGUGAUGAACAUCUUUGUUUUGUGCUUCGCUUUAUCAUUUUUGCUUUAUUUUUCUAUUUUCUGCAUCUUUCUCAUUCUCAGUGUUUUUCUUUAUUUUCUGAUUUAAUUUCUCUCUGCUCUGUUUUAAUCUCUUAACCCUCUUCAAUUUUCUGUCUUUUCUCCUCUGCCCUUUUGUCUGUUGCAAAAGUGAGAUUAAACAGGAUUAUUAAUAAACAGUAAUUCAAAGUCGUAGAGAAACUGUAAACUUUCUCUCUGUUUGUCCUCCAGACCUCCCCUCAGUGUCUCUCCUCCAGAAGUCUCCGUCCUCUCCGGUCACCUGCCACGCUUCAGGUUUCUACCCCAACAGAGCCAUGAUGCUCUGGAGGAAAGAUGGAGAGGAGCUUCAUGAGGAGGUGGACCUCGGAGAGACCCUCCCCAACCCUGACGGAUCCUUCCAGAUGAGUGCUGACCUGAAAGUCCCGUCUGAUGACUGGGGGAAGUAUGAGUGUGUGUUUCAGCUGGCUGGUCAGGAGGACAUCAUCACCAACCUGGACAAGACUAAGAUCAGGACAAACUCUGGUGAGACUGGAAACAAACAACAAAUGUUCUCUUUAAUCAACUUCAUCUGUUCAGAGUUUGACUUCACUUUGUUGUUUUCUGCUUCACAGGGAAUCUCUUGUACACGAUCAUCAUCGUUGUUGCUGUGUUGAUUCUUCUCUCCACCAUCAUCUGUGGAGGGGUCUACUUCUACAAGAAGAAGCAAAAUGGUGAGAGGUCAAAGCAGAGACAGUCUCAGUUUGUCUUUUUCAUCCCGUCCUCGUUUGUGUCCUCGUGGCAAAAGUAGAAAAAGAUAACAUUUUCAGAAUCCAGGAUGAGAUUCAGGAUGUGACAGGUGGAGGAUUUCAAAUUUGUUCAUUGUUUGUUUUGUUUCUUUUCCAGCCAAACGUCCUCCAUCUCGUAAGUAAAGUUUGUUUUUAUCCUUAAUUUGACUUAAAUUUUUAAAUGAUGGUUUAAUUGCUAACGUGUUGCUUUCUGAUCUUACAGCAGUCUAUACUGCCCCUGUGGAGCAAGAGAAAAUGCUUCCAAACCCAAGCGCCUAAAAGACAAACACACCACCCUGAACCCAGUGAGUCACAUUUGAUGAGCCUGGUUUUGUUACCUGUUGUCACCCUUAAGCUGUGUGAAAACAAAACUUUCUGAGGACUUUAGACAUGAAUCCAUCAUUAAUACCUUUUUUAUUGACAUAUCCUUUGAAAAAAAUAUCAGAAAUGAUUUUGUCUUUAAAGUUUUGUCCCUUCUGCUUUUUUAAGGUUGGUGGACAUAUUUCCCUGCCUAACAAGGAGGAGAUCCAACACAUUUUCCUGGGAAACAAUUGUUUUUUUUUUCUUCAUACACAACAUAAAGUGAUCAGGGCUGGAAUCAUAUUUGUGAUGCUUAUUGAGAAAAUACAAAAAAAUAAGUUUUAAAUGAGUUGACUAAUGAAUAACAAUAAUCUACAGCGCAUCUUCUCAAACAUAAAUUAGGACAUCAGGUUGUGUAUUUAGCUUUUGAUGAAAGUCCUGCUGAAAUUAUAAAAAUAUUCUAUGAAGAUGAUUUUUUUUUCUCUCAAUUGUAAAGAAGUUAAACACAAUCUUCAUCAGUGAAAGCGUCACACUGAUUUUUGUUCAUCCGUGAUAAAGAUUUCUGUGUUCAUCUUAAACUCAUCAACCACAGUAACAGUUUGAUCCUUCUGGUGUUGGGAGCUUUGCACUUAAAUCAGUUUUGGUUUUAUGAACAUUAACAUGCUUUCACAUUUUCUGUUAAGUACUCAUGGUGUUUAGCAGCAGUCUGGAGAAAUACAGCUUUAAAAUACAGAAGUCUGCCAACCAGCAGAGAUCUUACUGAUGAUUAUAUAAAGAAAGACGUUUGUUUGUGCUCUGGUUUUGUUUGUUCACUUUUAUCAAAUCAGCUGAUCAAUCAUUUUGAAUUUGGCUCCCUAAUCUGCCAUUAAAUCCUGAAAUUAAUCUGAAUUUAGUUUCAACACAUUUGCACUUAAUUAGGACUCUGUUUCCAGUUGUGUAAAUAUUCAUGUAAAACAAAAAAAAUGCUGUAAAGGCUCCAAAAACAUCCCUGAAAAUUAUGAUUUAUAAGUUUUAAAGUGUUUAUUAUAAUUAUGUUUUCUUUCAUGUGUCUGAUUUUAGUUAAGUUUAAAGGCUUCCUGUGCAUGAUGGCAUCAAAGUUCAACUCAAUGAAAGUCUAAUUUCUGAAACACCAUCUUUUAUAUGUCAGACUUGAAGUAGUUGUUGGAUGUUAAAUCUCUGAAAGUUGCUUGUUGUAAAUAUUUGAUCCUACUGUUAAAGAAGAUAGUGACGAUCAGUUCUCUGAAUAAUUUCUUGUUUUGGGUGAAGUUAAAAUUAGAAAUGAAGUUGCUUUUGCUUUGUGAUUACUUUUGUACUUUCCUUUAAAGUCUUAAUAAAAACCCCUAAAAAACCCAAACGUCU
rnacentral:lncRNA from 1 species